CGUAGGGGGCUAGGCGUUGUCCGGAAUCAUUGGGCGUAAAGCGCGUGUAGGCGGUCCGGUAAGUCCGCUGUGAAAGUCGGGGGCUCAACCCUCGGAUGCCGGUGGAUACUGUCGGGCUUGAGUACGGAAGAGGCGAGUGGAAUUCCUGGUGUAGCGGUGAAAUGCGCAGAUAUCAGGAGGAACACCAAUUGCGAAGGCAGCUCGCUGGGACGUUACUGACGCUGAGACGCGAAAGCGUGGGGAGCGAAACAGGAUUAGAUACCCUGGUAGUCCACGCUGUAAACGAUGGGCACUAGGUGUGGGGGGUGUCGACUCCCUCCGUGCCGAAGCUAACGCAUUAAGUGCCCCGCCUGGGGAGUACGGCCGCAAGGCUA
rnacentral:rRNA from 1 species